UACGCUGCAACAUAUGUGGUACUAGAUGAUAAUUACAGUUAUUGCUGAGGCAGGAUUAUAAUUGGUUAAUAUCGUAAUAUUUACGUCUUUAACUGGCGCUUUGAACGAAUAGACUUUUAUGUAACCAAUCUGAAUACUGUUUGUGAGGACUGAGACGACAACUGCAAAAAACAAAUGCGAUUUCAAUGAGUUUUAUUUUAAAUUUUUAGAAGAAAGCAUUCUUAAAUGUGUGUAUUAUUGAAGCGCUGUUGUUUUGUUCAAACAAAAUAAAGUUUCCGCACUUCCUCGUGGUGGUUCUAAAUUAAUUAGUGUUUUUUUUCCGAGUUCAGACUUUCUGAUUUAAUGCGCAUACAACAAUUUAAGUCAUUCCAUGUUUCACAUGCAAAUCCAACUCAUUAAAAAGAGACCACAGUCUUGGGUGAUUUUGAAAGAGCUUGCAGCAUUGACAGAUCACCAGACAGCAUAGCGCCCAAGAAGAUAGCAAGAGUCAUAAUGUCUGCUGACAGAACCCUGUUGCCAUAAGAUACAUGUACAUAUACUAAUGAUGAUCAAUAUAUUCCCCUUCAGGACCUGGGAAGUUAUUCAAAGUUAUAUUUUGAUACAUUUAUCAGAACUCAAAGUCCAUAU